rnacentral:rRNA from 1 species
UGGGGAAUAUUGGACAAUGGGCGAAAGCCUGAUCCAGCCAUGCCGCGUGUGUGAAGAAGGUCUUCGGAUUGUAAAGCACUUUAAGUUGGGAGGAAGGGCAGUAAGCGAAUACCUUGCUGUUUUGACGUUACCGACAGAAUAAGCACCGGCUAACUCUGUGCCAGCAGCCGCGGUAUACAGAGGGUGCAAGCGUUAAUCGGAAUUACUGGGCGUAAAGCGCGCGUAGGUGGUUCGUUAAGUUGAAUGUGAAAGCCCCGGGCUCAACCUGGGAACUGUAUCCAAAACUGGCGAGCUAGAGUAGGGCAGAGGGUGGUGGAAUUUCCUGUGUAGCGGUGAAAUGCGUAGAUAUAGGAAGGAACACCAGUGGCGAAGGCGACCACCUGGGCUCAUACUGACACUGAGGUGCGAAAGCGUGGGGAGCAAACAGG